rnacentral:rRNA from 1 species
CCUUGAGAGUCCUGAAGGAACGUUGAAGACGACGACGUUGAUAGGCCGGAUGUGUAAGCGCAGCGAUGCGUUGAGCUAACCGGUACUAAUGAACCGUGAGGCUUAACCUUACAACGCCGAAGCUGUU